UGGAACAUCAGGGACCAUCUGUCUUCAUGUGGGGAAGCUGAGAUUUCCAGAGAAACCCAUUAAUUCCGAGGAAUGCAGGCCCUGAAAGGCAGCAUAGCAGAGCCGUGAAGAGGGGAGGUUCUGGGGCACAAAGGACCUGGGAAGAUUCUGCUUUGUCACUUUACAAGCUGCGUGAGCUUGGGACAAAUGGAGGGAUUUGGAAAACUGUUUUGAGGGGGAGAAAUGGAAUCGAUGGCAAGGAUUUUCAACCACAGACCUGAAAACAGGAAGACCCUGAUUUUUGGAUGGCAGCUCUGUCCACCCGAUUCAGCAAGAGAGUGGUCACCGAGCUACCUGUGUCCCCUGCGCACGCGGCUCAGGAGGCAGGCUGAGGCAGAGCCUGACAACGUAACGUGGUGAUGCUGCUCUCCGGGGGUCUGGCACCCAGCGGGUACUGAAUGCACGUGUUCUGUUUGUUUGUGGUUUUCAAGGCUGUGGCCUCAGCAAGGGGAAGUUCCUGGGCCAGGGACCGAACCUGUGCCGCAGCAGAGACAACACCAGAUCCUCAUCGACCCUGGUGCUCUGCAUUGAACUGAGCUGUGCGGAGCCAAAGGGGCUUGGAGUGAACCAGGCGAGUGAACACAAGAUCAAGGGCCGAUUUCUCUGAACCUCUCCAGGGAGGUGGUGAGACGGCAGUGUCCGGGGCACCCGUGGGAGAGGGCUGGCUGGCCGAGAGCAAGGGAGGAACCAGCCAUGGUCCAUGGAGGGAAGAGUGCCCAGAGUCCCCGCAAACUGGAAGGCUUCCCUCCCCUGCUUCUCCAAGCAUCUCUCACCGCCUGGAAAAGGAGCCGUCAGCCUUUUCUCACCUGAUGCCCGCAGGCUUUUCCUCCUUCUGUGAGGUGAGGAAGCCAGGAUUCUUCGGGGAACAGCGUGGAUUCCCCACCUCUGUCCUUUGGGGAAUUUGUAGGAGCCGUGGAAGGCGGUCUGCACUGGGAGUUCGGUGAGGACUGGGGAGGGAUGGCGUUUUGGGGAAAGAUCUGAAAUGUGUCAACCGUGGGUAGAAGAUUUGCUGACUGAGUUUGUUCUUAAACCAAAGGGUCU